rnacentral:rRNA from 1 species
GUAGGGAAUAUUGGACAAUGGGGGGAACCCUGAUCCAGCCAUGCCGCGUGGAGGAAGACUGCCCUCUGGGUUGUAAACUCCUUUUAUAUGGGAAGAACCGUCCUCAUUAAUGAGUGACCUGACGGUACCAUAGGAAUAAGCACCGGCUAACUCCGUGCCAGCAGCCGCGGUAAUACGGAGGGUGCAAGCGUUAUCCGGAUUCACUGGGUUUAAAGGGUGCGUAGGCGGAUAAAUAAGUCAGUGGUGAAAUCAACGGGCUCAACCUGUUAACUGCCAUUGAUACUGUGUAUCUUGAAUAUGAGAGAGGUAGGCGGAAUGUUGCAUGUAGCGGUGAAAUGCUUAGAUAUGCUACGGAACACCGAUUGCGAAGGCAGCUUACUGGACCGGUUACUGACGCUGAGGCACGAAAGCGUGGGUAUCAAACAGGAUUAGAAACCCUAGUAGUCC